AGUCUUAUAUUCAAAAUGAUAUAAAAUUGCAAAUUUUAAGGUAUAAUAAUAUUAUUAAGACUU
rnacentral:tRNA from 1 species